rnacentral:tRNA from 15 species
GGAUGAUUAGCUCAGCUGGUUAGAGCGCUGCGUUCACAUCGCAGAGGUCGAGGGUUCGAGUCCCCCAUCCUCCACCA